AUUACGUGGAAUAAGUUCUGGAGUUAC
rnacentral:sRNA from 1 species